rnacentral:lncRNA from 1 species
UGUUGCGUGGAAUUGAAGAAUGAGCUCUUCAUUCCAAUCAACUAUGUCUGUGCAAAAGUUGAGGAGGCCUGCGUGUCACGCCCAAGAUGCGACCCUAUCCUAAAGGAACUCGAAGGUCCCACCAAGGAUAGAAGCGCAUCUUGAAGACGCUUUUGCAAGGUGGAUAUCAUUACAUCAACUUUACAUAAUAGAUGGGGAUACAUAUAAGGCACACAAAUGCCGCAAGAACACAUCAAUACAUCAUACACAAGAUCAACAUCCGACUACGGAUGAGACACAAACAGGGACUCAAACGACAUCCACACUGCUAGCCCAGGCUGCCGACCAGGAACCUAACCCAAGAUCGACGAAGAAGAAGACGAACUCCAACACAAAUAAACAUCGCUCUCGCGUCAUGAGCAUCGCAUAACUUGUACCUGCAACUGUUGUUGUAGUAAUCUGUGAGCCACGAGGACUCAGCAAUCCCAUUACCAUGGGUAUCAAGACUAGAAAAGCUUAAUGGGUAAGGAAGGGGUAAAGUGGUGAGGUUGCAGCAGCGACUAAGCAUGUAUGGUGGCUAACUUACGAAUACAAGAGCGAGAAGAGGAGCUGAACAAGCGGACAUCAACUAGUAAUGAUCAAGAAGUGAUCCUGAACUCCUACUUACGUCAAACAUAACGCAAAAACCGUGUUAUCCUCUCGAACAACCCCGAAAAGAGACAAUCACGGUUACGCACGCGGUUGGUGUAUUUUAGAAGAGUUUACUUCAAGUUUACUACAACCGGAUAUUAACAAAUUCCCAUCUGCCACAUAACCGCGGGCACGGCUUUCGAAAGUUUAAACGCUGCUGGGGUGUCCCAACUUAGCCCAUUAUAAGCUCUCACGAUCAACGAAGGAUAUUCCUUCUCUCGGGAAGACCCGAUCAGUCUCGGAAUCCCGGUUACAAGACAUUUUGACAAUGGUAAAACAAGACCAGCAAGACCUCCCGGCGUGCCGACACCCUGAUAGUAGCCGCGCAUAUCUUGUCUCAGGCCACGACCGGAUGAGCAGUACGUACAACUAAAACCAGCCCUCAAGUUUCCCCGAGGUGGCGCCGCAAGCGGCUCUAGUUCGGACCAACACUUAGAGAAGCAUUGUCCCGGGGGGGGGCUAAAAUAAAGAUGACCCUCGGGUGAAUUACUCCCAAGGGAAAGGUAUAGGUGGUAGGUAGGCAAAUGGUAAAACCAAUGUUGGGCCUUGCUGGAGAAGUUUUAUUCAAGGCGAACUGUCAAGGGGUUCCCAUAACACCCAACCGCGUUAGGGACGCAAAAUCCGGGAACAUAAUACCGAUAUGACGGAAACUAGGGCGGCAAGAGUGGAACAAAACACCAGGCAUAAGGCCGAGCUUCCACCCUUUACCAAGUAUAUAGAUGCAUUAAUAAUAUAAGAGAUAUUGUGAUAUCCCAACAUAAACAUAAUACAACAUGGAGCAAUCUUCAUCUUCACCUGCAACUAGCAAUGCUAUAAGAGGGGCUGAGCAAAAGCGGUAACAUAGCCAAACAACGGUUUGCUAGCAAGGGUGACAAAGGUUAGAGGUUCAUGGCAAUUUGGGAGGCUUGAUAAGCAAGUGGUAGGUAACGCGGCACAGCGAUAGCAUCGAGGCAACUAGAAUAGCAAUGAUAGUAAUGAGAUCCAAGGUGACGGUCAUCUUGCCUGAAAUCCCGCUAGGAAGAAGAACGAGUCCAUGAAGAAGAUGAAGCCACGAAGACGAACCAAGCGUAGACGAACGAAUCCUCACGAUCGGAACGAAACGGGAACUAUCGAGAAGAAGCACACAACAUGGUAAAGACACCACACAUGAACAAGGCAUGAUGCUCAACCAAGUAUGAUGCAUGACAAGGCUACAUGAAGCUACUCAUGGCAAGAGAUGAUACAUACAAGAGCAACACAUCUAAGCAAGUUUAAAUGAGGCCGGAAACAACAUAUAACAAUUCCGGUAAGUCCUCAUAUGCAAAUUUCGAAAUUGGUCCAGAUCUGAAUAAACUUUAGGUUCAAGUUAUUAAACAGCAAGUUAAGAUGCGCCAAAAUGAUCUACACGAAAUUCUAGUCAAGUUACAUAUAAAGUUCAUUUAAUUUGGAGCUACGGCCUACAAGAUAUGAGCAAAACAAGUUAAACAUGGCAUUGAUGCAAAAUGCAUUCAAACAUAAAGCAAACACACUCAAAACAUGGAUGCAACAAGGUAACAUGAAACUACAUGCAAAACUAAGCAAGUUUCAUGUAGAGCACACUCAAAACGGAGCAACGGUUCAACACAUACACAUGAAAGAAGUUUAAAGGACAAGCUGUCCAAAACAGCAACUAGGAAAAUUGCAAGCAUCAAAACAAUAUGCUACAACACCCCAACAUGAAAACAAAUGGCACGGUCGUGAUGUACAGGUAAACAAUUACAAAACAUGAACACUGAGCUAUCUCCAGAAAUCAGUAGAACAUGCUCAAAAGGACAUGGCAAGAUUGCAAAUAAUAAGUUUCACAGACUUUGCAGAAUUUCACUAGACAUGACAGAAAUAACAAUAGGUUGCAAAGUUUAGAGCUAUAAAACAACAUGCUACAAGAAAUUAUCAUGGCAACUAAAGGCAUGUAAUGCUAGUACCAAAGGCAAAAAACAAAACUCCCUUACUGAAAUUAUUCCAAAGAUCAACAGAAAACAUGGUAGCACCCAUGCAAGCAUGGCAAAUGAUAUGGCAGAUUCAGACGGUGAAAAUAACAGCACAUGGCAGGAACAACGACAAGUACGCAUGUUGGUGAGCUUGUACAACUCACUACAUAGCAUGACAUGGCAUUAAAAGGUAACGAACAGUAAGAAGACAUGUUCGUGAAGCUAAGAAUGGCAAUAGAAAGUUCAUAGGGUGCAUGGACCACUAGAAAAACACAUGCCAAAACUGAACUUAAUGUUAACAGGCUGAUGGCAACAUUAUUUUGCAAAUUUAGAGCAACAUUACAACAAGCUACUACAGGCUAUAAAUGCAAAAAAGUCAUUAAUUAAUAUAGCAUCACAUUUAUAACAAAAUAUCCUUAGUGAACAUAUCUAUAUUAUGCAUAGAUUAAUUGGUAGCAUCAAGGAAAGAUAGCAACACGAUAUAACAGUUUUAGCAUUGACAGAACAUCAACAGCAAGUAGCCCAGUUCACAAGCUCGAUGCACUCACUGCAGUGCAUAACAAAAUACAAGGCUUGCCACACUGUAAAGAUGGCAUGCAGUUGCUUCACAAACAUGUAGACAACAUGCUCAAAGGAUGCACACACAAAAUGCAACGAAAAAGACAAAUUACCAAGUUAUAACAAGUUUCAGCAGUUAACAUCAUAUAGCACUCUUGCAACAAUGAUUAGGGCCUCAAGAUGGACUUAAAAAAGCAUGGCACAAUGGAACAAAGUGUAUAGCAUCUCAUGAUCAACAUUUUAAUAUAUCGUGCACGCAAAACGGAGCUACGGGCAUGUAGUUAUGGCAGGUCAAAUAUGCACACAUAAUAAGAUUUUUCAGGGACUUGGCCGAUUUCAGUAAAAAAACAGGUUAGCGGGAUAUAGCAAAAGUGUGCACGGGCGAGGAAUAGAGGGGCUCACCAUGGGCCUGGAGGCCGAAUCUAGAGCCGGGCCAGGGCACUCGGAUGAGGCAGGACGCGGUCAACGCGGCUGGGACGAGCGGGCGUCCUCUGCUCGACAGGAAGCAGAGCCGCGGCGGCGCGGGCAAUGGCAAGGAGGGCGGGGGCCGCCGGGAACGGAGCAGAUCAGCGCGAGGCUGGAUGGAUCUGGCGAGGAGUGGCCGGAUCCCGUGGAGAACGGCGAUGGACGAGGAACUUGGGGCUGCGGCGCCAUGGCCGACGGGAGAACCUCCUGUGAAACGAGAGAUUAGAGAGAGGGCGAGAAGAAAGAAGGGGAAGGAAGGAGAAGGCGCGAGGGGUCCUGGCCUGAGAGGUCGCCGGUGGCGGCGCCGGCCUACUGCGCGGGAGCAGCGAGGCUCCGGCGAGCGGGUCGGCAGGAGGAGGCGCGCGGGGUGCGGGGAGCAAGCGCUCCUAUGCUGCUGGCGGCGGUGCGGGCUCAGCCGGGCCCAGAUGGGCUCGGCAGGCCCCGAUAUGGGCUUGGCGGGCUGGCGAUGAAGUGGGAGCUUGGGGAGGUGACGAGGAGGCCUGGGAGUGGCCAGGGGUGCCGGAUGGUGGUGGCUGGGCCAAUCGGGGCGCGCCAAGUGUCGCAGUGGAGGUGGAGGGCGCCGGAAUCGAAGGAGAAGGUGGGAGGUAGCGGCGACUGAUGAUUGGGACAGCGCGGAAAUCAAGGAGGGAGGUUAGGGGUGACAAAAAUGGCAAGGGGGGCUGCUAUUUAUAGAAAGAGGGGUUAGGGUUGGGGGUUUGAGGCUGUUUCGGAGCCUUCGAUCGCGAUCCGACGGAUCCGAUUGAGAGGGGGGUUAGGCAGGCCUAGGUGGGUUGUGGAGAGUGGGUUGGGCUGAGAGGAGAGAAGAGAAGGCAGCCCGCCAACGGUUUCCUGAGACCGAAAACGCCCGACGAUUAAACCGACUAUAGUGCGGCUGUAUGUAUAACGGUUGAGCUAUCAAACGAACUCUGAAUACGAUGAAAUUUGACAGGCAGUCUAUCUACACUAUAAUAAGACCGCACACCAAGUUUCAUCCCAUUCUGAGAACAUUUUUAUGCCACUUAUAAAAUAAUAUUUCGAAGGUGCCGCGGGCGUGUGCGAGUGUGUUUGAACUCAGGACGGACAACGGAGAGAUCUGGGGGAACCCGAACGGAUGCAAGUUUGAAAACAUGAGUAUGCAAUGCACGUGAUGACAUGGCAAAGAUGCAACACGCAAGCGAAUGACAUGGCAACGACGACGAAUAAACAGAAGACACCUGGCGCAUCAGAUCUUGGGCGUUACAACUCUCCUCAACUAACAAGAGAUCUCGUCCCGAGAUCUUAGGACCAAGACGGAAGGGAAAAGGGAUGAGGUGAAAUAAGAACAAAAGAGAGAGGAUGAACAAAGUCGAGAGCACUGGGUAGGAAAAAGGAACGACGAGUAUGACGAGAAUCAAAAGCUCAAAGAACGCGAUGGAUUCUGAAACCACUCUGGUUAGAACAAGAUAAGAAUGGAAUAAGUCUGAAAGAAUUUAGGCAGAACUCUGACUGAACAUGGAAAGAGUUGGAACUGAGAUUGACAAAAUGGAAUGAUAGUUGACGAGAGGAACAGCACAAUGCCUCCGGAAAAAUUGAAAGAUUGGAGUGAGAAGAACGGGGAAGAGGAUGACAACUUCUACCACGAAUGAAAUAGAAAGCAUCCAUAGAAGGAAGCAUUGAAUGGAGUUGUUGGAAAUUCAAUAACAAAAGAAUUGCUUGUUGUGGACUUAUGGAAAACAUCUCAAAAUUACGAGGUGACGACCGACCACAACAGGAAAUGGUUGAAAAUAGCUGAGAAUAACGAAGAAAUGCAAAACUCCACUUCAAAAGAAUACGGAAAAUUAAUUGCACCUCGCGAAGCAAGAAGAAGAAUACUUGAGCUCCUCCAACAAGAAUCUUGAUGAACACUUGGAGAAUGAAUUAACUCAUGAAGAACCGUCAUGAAGAACUCCGGUAACAGAAGGAUGACGAGAUAAAAUUGAAGGAUGAAAGGGAUAAGAUUAAAGCCUUGCGAUGAUUAAGAUGGCACUUUGCGACGAGAUCACCGAGAAAACUUGGAACUCCGGAAAUAAAGAUGAACAACAUAUAACUGAGAAAUUGAUAACGCGAAUAAACUCCGGUAGAAAAGAAUUAAACACUUGGAUGAAACAAGAACAAGAAUUAUGUUAUGCGUAUCCUCCAUCAAUUAUAUUGAUGAGAAGCAAUGGAUUUGCAUACAACUUAUUCGCGUUGGAAAGGAUUAAGGGGGGAUAUGGCUCGAAAAUUUGGGAAGGUCUUCAUGAACCACCGGUAAGAUUGGAAAGAACCUACUGAAUAGAUACGAUAAUCAAUGGAAAAGGAAUCUUGAACGAACCACCGUAAGAAUUCAAAAUUGCAUGACAAAGGAGAAUGAAUCACCGACAAGAAUUGAAACGGAUGAAGAUACUUGAGGGAAUUUAGAGACAAAAGAACAAAGAGAUCGCGAGCUGGUUGAAGAAUACUUGAACGAGGCACCGGAAGAAUAUUGGGACGAACGACAGGGCACGGAUAUAGAAUAAUUGAAGAACGAAUUUGAAAACUUAUAACAAAGAGAUAUUCCGAAAAGAUGGCCUCUGGCUGAUCGAAACGGAAAAAUAACAACUCCUGAAAUACUCCAGAUGGAUGAAAAGAAUUGCACAAUUUGAAAUAAUUUGAGAGGAUAACAUCAAGCUAGCAACAUGAAUCUCCGGGAGAACGGCCAAGAUUUAAGAGAAACUCUACUUCAGUCUUCAAAAGAUGAGAAUGACGACGAGAAACACCUUGAAGAAAUUUGUUGAAACACUCCGAAAGAAUAAAAAGAGGAAAGAUUGAACCGAAUCAUAAAAGAAUUUGGAAGCUAUCUUGGAGAAGGCAUCUGACUGAUGAAAUUCAUACUUAUGUCAAAUUUCAAAAGAACUAGAGAAUACCUUCGGGAAAAUCAGAAGAGUCAGGUAAGAUCCUGGGAAAAGACCUGUAGGUUAGGGCCCACUAAAAAGAAACACCGUUGGAAAAGGAUCGUUGGAGAGAGAGAUGAUGCACCAGAACAACUGAAAGACUUGAAUGAGGUGACAACCUCGAAUUAAUUGGAUGCAAACACGAAUCUUCUGAGAUGUCUUCAACACUCCGGGAUAAUAGAAUGGCGAGAGGAGGAACGAGCAAGGGGAAAACACUUCGGUCAAGGAAAAGAAUACGAUCAACACCGAAAACUUGAAUUGGAUCCACCGGAAAAGGAAAUGAGACGAGCAAUGAUUAACUAGGCGAGAAUUCACCGGUUGAGACAAUUGAGGAAAGACUGAAGGGGCUUCGCAUGAAUGAAAUUGAUGCUUGAAUAGAGGCUCAGACUCCAGGAAGCAAAAACGGGUGGGAGGGCGGGAAAAACAAAAGCAACUGGGACGACGAAUAAUUGAAUAGAAAAGCGCCGGUUGAAAUGAUUGAGGAUAGAAUGCAAAGGCUUCACACGAGUACGAAGGAUACUCGAUUUCGGACUCCGGUUCCAAGAAGAAGAAGGGGUGGGCGGGUGGCAAAAACAAGGAAAACAUCGGACAGGGAAAUAACAUCGAUUGAAAAAGAGCUGUGGAUUGAUCUUGCAAAGCACAAAGAGGGUCGAAUCGACUUGGCGAGAAAUGCACCGGAUGAAAAGAGCAGACAUCGCAACGAACGAAAACUAAUCGCGUGAUCCUAAAGAAAAAUUUGAAGGGCAAGAGAAGUAAGUCGAAACACCUACGUCAAGAUUCCUCACCAGAGCGACGAAGGGGGCUGAGGAGUAAAAAGAAUUCCUACUCUCUAAUAUAACUAGACUCCGAAAAAGUUAUUCUUCUAGACUCGACAUCUGACAAACUGUAAGAUCAAUCAAGGGGGCUCCUAUGGUCGGUCAAGGCUCUGAUACCAACUUGUCACGCCCAAGAUGCGGCCCUAUCCUAAAGGAACUCGAAGGUCCCACCAAGGAUAGAAGCACAUCUUGAAGACGCUUUUGCAAGGUGGAUAUUACAUCAACAUUACAUAAUAUAUGGGGAUACAUACAAGGCAUACAAAUGCCGCAAGAAUACAUCAAUACAUCAUACACAAGAUCAACAUACGACUACAGAUGAGACACAAACAAGGACUCAAACGACAUCCACCCUGCUAGCCCAGGCCGUCGACUAGGAACCUAACCCAAGAUCGACGAAGAAGAAGAACUCCAACACAAAUAAACAUCGCUCUCGCGACAUGAGCAUCGCAUAACCUGUACCUGCAACUGUUGUUGUAGUAAUCUGUGAGCCACGAGGACUCAGCAAUCCCAUUAGAAUGGGUAUCAAGACUAGCAAAGCUUAAUGGGUAAGGAAGGGGUAAACUGGUGAGGUUGCAGCAGCGACUAAGCAUGUAUGGUGGCUAACUUACGAAUACAAGAGCGAGAAGAGGAGCUAAACAAGCGGACCUCAACUAAUAAUGAUCAAGAAGUGAUCCUGAACUCCUACUUACGUCAAACAUAACCCAAAAAUAGUGUUCUCCUCUCGAACAACCCCGAAAAGAGACAAUCACGGUUACGCACGCGGUUGGUGUAUUUUAGAAGAGUUUACUUCAAGUUUACUACAACCGAAUAUUAACAAAUUCCCAUCUGCCACAUAACCGCGGGCACGGCUUUCGAAAGUUCAAACCCUGCAGGGGUGUCCCAACUUAGCCCAUUAUAAGCUCUCACGAUCAACGAAGGAUAUUCCUUCUCCCGGGAAGACCCGAUCAGUCCCGGAAUCCCGAUUACAAGACAUUUUGACAAUGGUAAAACAAUACUAGCAAGACCUCCCGGCGUGCCGACACCCUGAUAGUAGCCGCGCGUAUCUCGUCUCAGGCCACGACCGGAUGAGCAGUACGUACAACUAAAACCAGCCCUCAAGUUUCCC